UCGGAAUGAGUACACUUCAAAUCCGUUAACGAGGACCAACCGGAGGGCAAGUCUGGUGCCAGCAGCCGCGGUAAUUCCAGCUCCGGUAGCGUAUAUUAAAGUUGUUGCGGUUAAAAAGCUCGUAGUCCGAACUCGGGUUCGUGGUCGCGUUCGCGGCCCCGGGGCGGCGGCGCCAUCGUCCGUCGUUGACUUUGGUCGUCCGUGCGCAUUCCCGGCCCUUUCCGCCGGUGUCAACCGCUUGUACAUCCGCCACGCGGUCCUGCCGGCGAAGUUACGCGGGGGAGUAGUGGGUGUUUUUUCCGACGGGUUUGCCGCGGAGGUGCGGGGGGUCCCGCGAGCGUCGCCGUCGUCGGCGGCGCCGGGUUUCCGUUCCGUCUGGCGCGCGCGGUCAAAAGGCGGUGCGAUUCGCGCGGCGUCUCUUCCCUGUCGGCGGCGGCCAGCGGCGUUUGCUCGUCGUCUGCGUCGCCGUCGUCGCCUAAAAGGGCGGUUGCGUCGCGUCGUUCCGUCUCGCGUUCAACGUCACGGGGGAGCGUUCUUCCCUGCCGCUGCGCGCGGUGGCCUCCUCUUCCCUCACCGUCCUCCAAUCUGCCCUCGGUUGCCCUGCUAUACCUACCUCCGCGUCUAUCUUCGCGUCUGUUCUGCGCGCGUGCGCGGUCGGCGGUUUCUCCUCCAAGGGUGCUCUUGACCGAGUGUCCGCGGCGGCCGGUACGUUCACUUUGAAAAAAUUAGAGUGCUCAGAGCGGGCUGUUCAAGCUUGCAUACGAUAAGCAUGGAAUGAUGGAAGAGGGCCUCGUCUACGUCUGUCGGUCUCCGUCUACGGCGAGGCAAUGAUCGAAGGGAGCGGUCGGGGCCACUCGUAUUGCGACGUUAGAGGUGAAAUUCUUGGAUCGUCGCAAGACGAACUGCAGCGAUGGCGUGUGGCAAGCACGUUUUCCUCGAUCAAGAGCGAAAGUCGGAGGUUCGAAGACGAUCAGAUACCGUCGUAGUUCCGACCGUAAACGAUGCCGACCGGCGAUCCGCCGGCGUUCGCUUCCAUGACCCGGCGGGUAGCCUGCGGGAAACCAGAGUUCGGUUCCGGGGGGAGUAUGGUUGCAAAGCUGAAACUUAAAGGAAUUGACGGAAGGGCACCACCAGGAGUGGAGCCUGCGGCUUAAUUUGACUCAACACGGGAAAACUCACCCGGUCCGGACACCGGUAGGAUUGACAGAUCGAUAGCUCUUUCUCGAUUCGGUGGGUGGUGGUGCAUGGCCGUUCUUAGUUGGUGGAGCGAUCCGUCUGGUUGAUUCCGAUAACGAACGAGACUCCGGCCUGCUAACUAGUGCGCCGAUGUGUGUGUUUAUUCAACGGCGGGCUCGGCGUUCAUCGCAGCGCCCGGGUCCGGGUCGGUUUUCUCACGCACUUCUUAGAGGGACGGGUGGCAGAAAGCCACACGAGGCGGAGCGAUAACAGGUCUGUGAUGCCCUUAGAUGUCCGGGGCCGCACGCGCGCUACACUGGAGGUAUCAGCGGGGACUUCGCCCCGGCCCGAGAGGGUCGGGAAACCUCUUAACCACCUCCCGUGAUAGGGAUCGGGGCCUGUAACCAACCCCGUGAACGAGGAAUUCCCGGUAGGCGCGGGUCAACAGCCCGCGUCGAUCACGUCCCUGCCCUUUGUACACACCGCCCGUCGCUACUACCGAUCGAACGGUCCGGUGAGGUCCUCGGAUCUGGCCGACGACGCCGCCGGGCAGCGUGCACGUGGCGCAGCGGCGGCGGUCUCCGCUGCCGUUUCACGCGCGUGUCGUACUCGCCUCGGCGUUCGAUGCCUGGAGAAG
rnacentral:rRNA from 1 species